rnacentral:rRNA from 1 species
UACGUAGGGUGCGAGCGUUGUCCGGAAUUAUUGGGCGUAAAGAGCUCGUAGGCGGUCUGUCGCGUCGGUCGUGAAAACUCGGGGCUUAACCCUGAGCUUGCGGUCGAUACGGGCAUGACUGGAGUUCGGCAGGGGAGACUGGAAUUCCUGGUGUAGCGGUGAAAUGCGCAGAUAUCAGGAGGAACACCCGUGGCGAAGGCGGCUCUCUGGGACGGUACUGACGCUGAGGUGCGAAAGCGUGGGUAGCAAACAGG